rnacentral:rRNA from 1 species
GGGUCAGUAGGUUGGUCGUGCGACCGGUACGUACUGGUCUCACUGAUUCGUCCUUCCUGAAGAACCGUAAUGCCAUUAAUUUGGUGUUGCGGGGAAACAGGACUGUUACUUUGAAAAAAUUAUACUGUUUAAAGCAAGCUAACGCUUGAAUACAUUAGCAUGGAAUAAUGAAAUAGGACGAUCGAUCCUAUUUUGUUGGUUUCUAGGAUUGACGUA